rnacentral:rRNA from 1 species
UACGAAGGGGACUAGCGUUGUUCGGAUUUACUGGGCGUAAAGCGCGCGUAGGCGGAUCGCUAAGUCAGGGGUGAAAUCCCAGGGCUCAACCCUGGAACUGCCUUUGAUACUGACGAUCUGGAGAUCGGGAGAGGUUGGUGGAAUUCCGAGUGUAGAGGUGAAAAUUCGUAGAUAUUCGGAGGAACACCAGAAGCGAAGGCGGCCAACUGGCCCGAUACUGACGCUGAGGCGCGAAAGCGUGGGGAGCAAACAGG